CACGUAGGGUGCGAGCGUUGUCCGGAAUUAUUGGGCGUAAAGAGCUCGUAGGCGGUCUGUCGCGUCGGUCGUGAAAACUUGGGGCUUAACCCUGAGCUUGCGGUCGAUACGGGCAUGACUGGAGUUCGGCAGGGGAGACUGGAAUUCCUGGUGUAGCGGUGAAAUGCGCAGAUAUCAGGAGGAACACCGGUGGCGAAGGCGGUUCUCUGGGCCUGUACUGACGCUGAGGAACGAAAGCGUGGGGAGCGAACAGG
rnacentral:rRNA from 1 species